GUACAAGCCCCUCUGUGUAAGCUCCAAAAUCAAAAGGAAGCUCAGAAGAAGAAGAAAAAUGGCGACAAGAUACUGGGUGGUGUCUCUGCAGGUUCAAAACUCUGCUUCCACUCAUGGAAUCGUCUGCAAGACCAAAUCUCCAAGCAUUCCUUUGAUACUCCUCUCUACAGGUUCAAUAUUCCUAAUCUCCGUGUUGGAACCCUGGAUUCUCUGCUCUCUCUCAGCG
rnacentral:misc_RNA from 1 species